UACGAACGCUGGCGGCGUGCUUAACACAUGCAAGUCGUACGGUAAGGCCCUUUCGGGGGUACACGAGUGGCGAACGGGUGAGUAACACGUGAGUAACCUGCCCACAACUUUGGGAUAACGCUAGGAAACUGGUGCUAAUACUGGAUAUGUGCUCCUGCUGCAUGGUGGGGGUUGGAAAGCUCCGGCGGUUGUGGAUGGACUCGCGGCCUAUCAGCUUGUUGGUGGGGUAGUGGCCUACCAAGGCGGCGACGGGUAGCCGGCCUGAGAGGGUGACCGGCCACAUUGGGACUGAGAUACGGCCCAGACUCCUACGGGAGGCAGCAGUGGGGAAUAUUGCACAAUGGGCGCAAGCCUGGUGCAGCAACGCCGCGUGCGGGAUGACGGCCUUCGGGUUGUAAACCGCUUUCAGCAGGGACGAAGCUUUUUGUGACGGUACCUGCAGAAGAAGCACCGGCUAACUACGUG
rnacentral:rRNA from 1 species